CAACAGGGUCUUUAUACUUGGAUUGAGAUCCGGAACUUCUGGGUCUCAACAGCAACCUCUUGCUGCGAACAUCGCUUCGAGGGUGAGUGGCACAAGAAGUGAAAUUGAAAUUUUUUGUGAUCAUUUGUGAAACUCUACGUCUACUUCUGAUCUUGUCAAGUCGAGGAGAAGAGAGCAGUUGAUUAAAGGGUUUAUGUUGGGAUUCACAAUCAUACACAUGCUACCUUCGUUGUCACAAUAAAUGGGAGCAGGUCUGGUGGUUUGGAGGCCGAAAUCGCUGGUGAGCUUUGCAAGCCAGGCUGCCUCCUUAGAAGUUGUGGAUAGUCCUAUAUACUCAAGUUCUAUGGAGCUCAUCGCCACUUUGGGCUGCUUUUUCAAAAGCCAGGUGAUGGGACUAGACCCCAACAUGAAUAUGAAUCCCAUUGUGGAUCGACCAUCUGUCAUAUCUCUUGCCCAGUCUGUAUCAACGAAUCCUGUAAUAUUUGUGUUGGGUUUUGAGAGGUAGAGGAUACCAUAAUCUGAAGUGUGCUUAAUGUUUGUAAUGACCCGCCCGGCUGCCUGCAAGUGCAGUUGUUGGUGACAUGCAAGAAAUCUUGAGCAAAUUCCAACUGUAGUGGAGAUAUCAAAACGGGUGUGUGUAAGAUGAUUUAGCUUUCCGACCAUGGAGCAGUAACAUGUAAGGUCACAUGGUUCUGCAUUCAAGUCAACCAUUAGUUCCUGCAUAGGUGUGGUGGCAGGCGCACAGUUUUCCAUGCCGAAGUAUUCCAAUACUUGAUGGGCGUAGCUACGCUGAUUCAUGAAGAUACCCCUGGGAGUUUAACGCAUUCAACCUUCGGGUAUAGUGUCAUGUCUCCUUCGCUCAUGUCGAAUUUAGAUAUAAGCUGUUGUUUGAACCUUAUUUGGAUUUCUAAAGGCUUGUGUGUUUAUUACUUGCCUUAUUGUCACGGAUAUUAUUGUAAUCCACAGGAAAGCAAAAUUUGUA